AGAGUUUGAUCAUGGCUCAGAUUGAACGCUGGCGGUAUGCUUAACACAUGCAAGUCGAACGGUAACAGGCAAAGCUUGCUUUGCGCUGACGAGUGGCGGACGGGUGCGUAACGCGUGGGAAUCUGCCUUAUAGUGGGGGAUAGCCCGGAGAAAUCCGGUUUAAUACCGCAUAAGCCCUAAGGGGGAAAGCUAGGGAUCUUCGGACCUGGCGCUAUUAGAGGAGCCCGCGUUAGAUUAGCUUGUUGGUGAGGUAAUGGCUCACCAAGGCUACGAUCUAUAGCUGGUUUGAGAGGACGAUCAGCCACACUGGGACUGAGACACGGCUCAGACUCCUACGGGAGGCAGCAGUGGGGAAUAUUGCACAAUGGGCGCAAGCCUGAUGCAGCAAUACCGCGUGUGUGAAGAAGGCCUGCGGGUUGUAAAGCACUUUCAAUAGUGAAGAAGGGCUUAUUGUUAAUAGCUUUAAGUCUUGACGUUAACUAUACAAGAAGCACCGGCUAACUCCGUGCCAGCAGCCGCGGUAAUACGGAGGGUGCAAGCGUUAAUCGGAAUUACUGGGCGUAAAGAGUACGUAGGUGGCUUACUCAGUCAGAUGUGAAAGCCCCGGGCUUAACCUGGGAACUGCAUUUGAUACUGGUAAGCUAGAGUAUGGUAGAGGGGGGUAGAAUUCAUAGUGUAGCGGUGAAAUGCGUAGAUAUUAUGAGGAAUACCGGUGGCGAAGGCGGC
rnacentral:rRNA from 1 species